CAGGCUUAUUAUUUUCAGUCAGGCUUAUAUCUGCCAUAAACCAGAAACACAAAUAUCAACACAAUGAUGUUUUAAACACAUACAUUGUGUUAAAUACAGUGCCAUGCAAAAGUAUUAAUCCCCUUUGCCCUUUCCUAUUUUGUUGCAUUACAAACUAAAAUUUAAAGGAUUUUCAUUUGGGUUUUUAUGUAGUGGAUAUACAUAAUACUCUAAGAUGGUGAAGUGAAAUGGUGAAGUAUAUUCACCCAUUUUACUAUGAGGCUCCUAAAUAAGCACUGGUGUUACCAAUUACCUCAAGAAGUCACAUAAUGUGUUAAAUUAAGUCCACCUGUCUGCAGUCUAAGUAUCACAUCAUCUCAGCUUAUGUAUACCUGCUCUGAAAAGCCUGUAACACCACUGAGGAGAAAUGCAGCUUCAAACAAGAAGCAUGAUGAAGACCACAGAGCUCUCCAAACAGAGCAGUGAACAAAUGUGUAUGUGGCUGUGAGCUAAGCAGAGAAUGAAUUGGUCCACUGAAGAUGAUGACCUCAGCUGACAGCCAAACCAAACAAUACACCCUGUUUAGAAAUCCCCACACCGCAGUGGGCCAGGCUAUUUCCAUUCACGAUUCUGUGCCCACACGAUCUAUUGCAGCUGCUCUGAGGGUACAACCAAAUGCUUAGUUCAAUAGGAAGUCAGAGUGUUGUGGCCUUCCUCCCUUUCUGACCUGUGCUGUGUCCAGGGUGGAAAACAGCUGACACGCCCUCCUGUAACCCCAACAGCUCAUCAAGUCAUCACAGGAACCAUCCCAGAACCACCACAGUUCACUCUUUCUGUUAGUAAUAAUAACCUUUUUGUGGUGUCAGAGAUGAGACACUGACACAUUUCAUCUUCUCCAAGGCUAAAAAUACUCUGUCAGAUCUUUUUGCUACAUAUCUUUCAUUUCUGUUCUUUUUUGGUAUGUGGUUUCCUUCUAGUAUUGUAAUAUUAAAAAGCUGAUCUCAGUUCAGUGCUUUCUCUGAUUGCUUGUGUUGUACUGUACAGUAAUUCUGUACUCAGCCACCAGCUAAUGCAGAGCCAGUAAGCUUGAACCCCAUUCCCACAUUCAGCAUCCCUCAUGACUGGAACAGUUAGUUUUUGAAAGAUAUAUUGGAUUUACUGUAUAAGGCAGACAAACAUUAACCUCUUGGUUAAUGCUUUAAAGAUUUCAUGAAGAAGCUUUGACAAUUCGGCAUUGUUCUUUUCCUCAUAUUCAUCAGACGGCUCUCGGAUGAGUCUGGAAAUCCCGCCACACCCCUUCAUACACCCACCUCUGUCAGAUCUUCCUGUGUUUACCCAGUCGAUCCUGAGUGUGUUCCACAAACAGACACAGUCAACGUGGUUUCUCUGAUUGCUACAAUACUAACAAUUGAGAAUCAACAAAAGAUUAAUCUCCAAGGAGUUUCGCUUUGUUCUGAAAAACCCAGAAUUUCUGAAAUGAUUCUGAAUGUUAAGGUCAGACCUUUGAAUCAAUAGCUAGUCCAUGUAACCUGCUGUUUUAUAAUCCACAUGAAGCUGGAAUGCUGCAGCACUAAUCAGACUGUUUCCAAUCUACCUUAUUGAUUCCCACUGCCUCCAUCUGCAACAUGUCUAAGCUUUCCUUCAGAACAAUGGGGCGAUGUGCAUCUUUUCUCUAGCAGGCUAUUACACCUCUACCCCCUCUUCCCAAAUUAACACUGCACAAGAACAGUGUGUGUUCAGUGAGAUCUUUAUCAGUAGAGACAUUGCAUUUGAGAGCACUGAUAGCUUUCUGAUGGAAAGCUGGUCUCAGCCGACAUGGAGAAUGUCAGAAGCUUUUAACAUAGCACGUUGCAAAGAAAUACAAUGUAAGCAAAUAGGAUCAUGCCAAAGCAUCAAGCUGAAAUGAGGAUUUUUUGAGAGAAAAAAGAAUUCUUUCCAGUGCUGAAUAAUCCUUCCUAGACACCUUUUCACUGCCUGGCAGUGAAAGCACUCUGUCUGUAUUUUGUGUAUAAAUGUCUUUAGUUGUUUGAAAUAGCUAAAUCUCUUUAUAGAAAUGUGUUUUGUUUUGUUUAUUACAGUAGAUAUUAAUAUGUGAAAUAUGGUAUUAUGCAAGAAGCACAACAUGCUUAUUUUUGUUUUGUACACUUUCAUAGGGCCGUAUUCAAAUCUGGUCAAUUAAACCUACUUUAAUAUUUGUGUGGAAAGUUAAGCACCCUCUUAAGUCCAUUUCCUGUAUUUGCAAAUUACCUGUGUUUGCAAUUCACACCUCUGAGGUUGCCAGAUUUCUCUGAGUAGACCUGUCUGAGACAAGGUUUUUCAACAGCACCUAGACCACUGCCAUUAAACACACAACCUGGCUUUACACCGGAAAUAAAUCACGGAUAGAAAAUGUGGAUCGAAGAAUGUAACAAUUUUUUUUGUUGUGUUUUCAUUACCAUUAAAUGUAAUACAG